UCAGAGAUAGUGGAAGGGUUCCCACGGCUGCCGCUCAUCACGGCCACUCCAGGUUCGAUUCCUGGUCUCUGAC